rnacentral:lncRNA from 1 species
AGGAUGCUAUAAAGGAUAUUGAUGAUGAGUAGGGAGAUAUGGAUACUAAGAGAAGGGAGCAGAACAGUGUCGGAUUCAGUUGGAUGAGGCUCUAGGAUUUGUAAAACCUUAGUGGAGAACCAUGUUUCAGACGCUGAAUGUUAAAUAUGUGAUGACAUUAAUACUUCUCCAUCAUUGUUUAUAGUUGAUAUUAAUAUAGUUCCAUUUUUGUUCUCUACAUAUGUUGAAAGGAAAAUAGUUCUAGAUAGAUGAAUGACAAUGAUCUAGAACGAAUCCUAAUAUUGAUCUUGCUCCAACAUCAUUGUUCAUAGUUAAUAUAAUUUGAAUUUUUGUUAUCUACACACUGCAAUAUGUUAGUUGAUAAGAAAAAGAAUGCUUCUAGUUCUAGAUAGAUGCAUUUAUAUGAGUGAGCCUCAGAAAAGGACUCAAGAGUACAUUUGGAACUCAAAAGACAGAAACUCACCCAAAACGUAUUUGAAGAUGAGAGAGCAUUAUAAAAAAAAACCCAAAAACAAAUGUUUGGAGAUUUUAUUUGUCAAAAGAAUAUCUGAUAUGAGAGACUCAAAAGUCAUGAUCGUGUCCCACACCAUUGAUUGGUUCACUAAGCAGUAGAUUCCUUCAAGUAGGCGAUGAGAUCAGCACGGUCUUGAGGCUUCUUGAGCCCAGGGAAGACCAUCUUCGUUCCAGGAAUGUACUGCAUCACAAGAACAAAUCAGAAUCCAAUCAGUCUCAAUGCUAAUUCACAACGAAUCAUAAUCACAAUGCACAUACUAUAAUUAAGUUACCUUCUUGGGGUUGAGCAAGUAAUCGUACAAGGUCUUCUCUUCCCAUUCCACAGCUUUGUUCUUGUUAGCAGCAGAGUAAGAGUAACCAGCCGUUGUUCCAGACUGUCUUCCAAACAGACCGUUUAGGUUCGGUCCUAUUAAACCAUUUACAAAAAAAAAAACGCAAUGGUUAUUCACAAACAACAAAGUUCCACGCAAAUUCAAUGACCAUAUGUUAUGCAACAAGCAAAGAUCAAUGGUUGUAUCACCACUUAGGAUUCAAAAUCAGAUUCCACUAUAAGUCGAGUUUUUUGGAUUGGAUCUAAAGAUUAUUUGACAAAACAAGCGUGCUAAUCAACGAAUUCGCAAAACAGAUCGAACAUCAAGAACACAUCGGUUACAAAUCAAAAGCAUCUUAACAUAGAAGACAAGUCAAAGAGAAGAGAGAUGGAACGGAUCGGAUCGGAUCUAACCUUGUUUGUGACCGGCGCCUUUGUCGACGGUGUGACACUGAGCACACUUGGUCCUGAAGAUCUUCUCUCCGGCCUUGGAGUUUCCUGGUGGUGCUUCAUCAAACGACGCCAUUUUCGCCUGAGAUCACGAGGAGGAGGAGCCAACAAAGAGAAAACAAACACGGAACUCGCCUCUCUGGAGCUUCUAAGGGUUUCUGUGGGACACAUCACCACGCGCGACUCUCUUAAUAAUCAACAAUAAUGGGCCAAUAGCCUAACGGGCUCUUAAUGGGCUUCGGUUUAUAAUCCAGGUAUUGCCUUUAGUCGUUUAUUAGCUCAGCUGUUCAUGUAUACAUGUUAAUAGUUGUUUCGAGUAACAAAUAGAGAAAACCUUAAGACAAAUCUGAACUUUUGAGACGAUCGUGUAUAAGAUUUAUGUACAAUCAACAAACCAAUGUUUCCAGUUUGAUCAUUCAGAUAAUACAAUUUAUCCUACUUCUACAAGACGUUCUUCGUCGGAACUUUGCUCCUGAUUGAUGGAAGAAGAACCAAGAGUAGCAAACUCAUGAGCUACUCGCACACUCAUCAACCUCUUCACCUCUUCAAGCUUGCUCCACGAACCAGUAACCGUAUACAUAUCAGCAAUCAACAAAUAGUGCCCUAACUUCACUGGCUCCAUCUCCCAUAGCAGAUCUGCAGCCCACUCACCAAUGUCUUUGUUCCCGUGGAUCAAACAAGCUAUUAUCAGAGUAGCACACAUAGCACGAGACGGCUCGUAAGGCAUUCUGCGGAUUAUAUCUCUGGCGUUAACAAGCAGACCUGCUCUGCAGUAGAGAUCAACCAUACAUGAAUAGUGUUCAAGGCGAGGGAGUAUACCAAACACAUACUGCAUCUUCUUAAACUGCAUUUCUCCUUCAUGGACCAAACCGGAGUGGCUGCAAGCUGAUAAAACUGCAACCAUGGUUACAUGAUCAGGUUCCAUACCUGAUCUGAUCAUUUCCUUGAACCACGCCAAGGCGACUUCUCCUUCUCCCACCAUGCCGUAUCCAUCUAUCAGUGAAGUGUAUGUCACUUUAUCCCUCUUGCUCAUCGACUCAAACAUCCGCUUGGCGGCUAUGAUGUUCCCGGAUUUCGCAUACAUAUCAACAAGGGAGUUCCACAGGAUUAAACAGUCUUUGAAGCAGCUUUGGCGCCUCAGGAUGUAGCAGUGGAGCUCUCUCCCAUGCUGCAGGUUUGCCACCCGAGCACAGAGUGCGAGAAUGCUGGCGAGAGUAACGUGAUUCGGAUGAAAGCCAGCGAGCAUCAUCUCCUUGAGCAGGAAACACGUUUCUUCUGAUCUCUCGUUGUGCGCAAAACCUGAGAUGAUAGAGUUCCAUGUACUCAAAUCAUUCCCUUCCAUCUGCUGAAACACUAUAAAGGCGUGAUUAAGAUCACCACAUCUUGAGUACAUUGUGAUCAACGAGUUUCCAACGUUAUCGAUUGGAGCGUAACAGCUACGUAUCGCAAGGCAAUGGAACUCUCUACCCCACCGUAAAGCUCCAAUCUGCGAGCAUGCCUUCAAACCAUUAAUCAUAGCUACAGAAUCUAAACUCACAUUGUGAUUUCUCAUCUUCGCUACAAAACUCAAAGCCUUUACAUACUCUCCCGUCUGCAAAAGAACUCCAGCUAACGUGUUCCAUGUUACAACAGUCGCUUCUACGCCAGAGAGACUCAUUCUAUCGUAAAAUUCGAGAGCUUCCUCCCAUUUGCCUUGAGAAGCGUAACACUUAAUCAAUGUAUUCCACGAGACAGCGUCCCGUUCAGACAUGGUGUCAAACAAUCUCCGAGCAAUAUCCACAUUACCAAAUCUUGUAUACAUAGAUAUCAACGCAUUGCAUACAUACGAUGCUUUGAACAUAUGCCUUUAUCAUGUCAAGCAUAAGGUUACAGUAGGAUCCACCGAGCUUUUACGUUGUUGGUGUACAAUAGGUCCAUGCUGGGCAGCUUUAGUGUAUGGUAGAAGAACUAAAUUGAAAGCUAGGGUAUUAAAAGAGAGUUAUAGAACAUCAAGCUGUGGGAUCACAGAAAAAAGGUUCUGUUUUUACAUAAUGUAAAAGGAGACUGAUAUAGAAUGAAAGACAAAUACUUACUUAUGGAUGUUAACUUGAGUUGAAGAAAUUGUAUCUUUGAUGGAUCAGUGGAGACAUAUGGUUUAUGAAUGUGCUGAACUGUGGAUACGUGGUCACUCUAGCAAGCAACAUAACUACCAUCAGAUGACAAUGUUUACUAACUGUGUUGUUGUUUCAGCAAGAAGAAUCAGCUGUUGGAUUGCCAGGAGGAAACGGCCAGCUUCUAACGCUCGGGUUGGGUCUGUUGGUAACUGCAUUAGCUGCAACAUAUGUAACUGGCCUAGCAAAGGUAACUAAUACUAGUAGUUACUGUUGUGCUCUUUCCCAUCUGAACAAGGUUAUAAACACACUCGUAUCUAAUUCAUUUGUUUGGUGUUGCAGGAUGCUAUAAAGGAUAUUGAUGAUGAGUAGGGAGAUAUGGAUACUAAGAGAAGGGAGCAGAACAGUGUCGGAUUCAGUUGGAUGAGGCUCUAGGAUUUGUAAAACCUUAGUGGAGAACCAUGUUUCAGACGCUGAAUGUUAAAUAUGUGAUGACAUUAAUACUUCUCCAUCAUUGUUUAUAGUUGAUAUUAAUAUAGUUCCAUUUUUGUUCUCUACAUAUGUUGAAAGGA